GGAGUUAGCCGGUGCUUCUUCUGCGAGUAACGUCACAGAUGUAAGGUAUUAACUUACACCCUUUCCUCCUCGCUGAAAGUGCUUUACAACCCGAAGGCCUUCUUCACACACGCGGCAUGGCUGCAUCAGGGUUUCCCCCAUUGUGCAAUAUUCCCCACUGCUGCCUCCCGUAGGAGUCUGGGCCGUGUCUCAGUCCCAGUGUGUCUGAUCAUCCUCUCAGACCAGCUAGGGAUCGUCGCCUAGGUGAGCCUUUACCUCACCUACUAGCUAAUCCCACCUGGGCUUAUCCAUCAGCGCAAGGCCCGAAGGUCCCCUGCUUUCCCCCGUAGGGCGUAUGCGGUAUUAGCAGUCGUUUCCAACUGUUAUCCCCCACAAAUGGGCAAAUUCCCAGGCAUUACUCACCCGUCCGCCGCUCGUCAUCUUCAAAAGCAAGCUUUUGAAAUGUUACCGCUCGACUUGCAUGUGUUAGGCCUGCCGCCAGCGUUCAAUCUGAGCCAGAAUCAAACUCUGA
rnacentral:rRNA from 1 species